rnacentral:lncRNA from 1 species
UUUAGAAUGCGAGUUUGAUCACUACCCGUCCAACUUAGAACAAUUUGAGUAGAUGCAGCUUAUAGAUAAAGUUACUGACAAGAGGUGGAGUGCAGCCAUAUAAAGUUUAGAACGCGAGUUUGGUCACUACCUGUCCAACUUAGAACAAUUUGAGUAGAUGCAGCUUAUAGAUAAAGUUACUGACAAGAGGUGGAGUGCAGCCAUAUAAAGUUUAGAACGCGAGUUUGGUCACUACCUGUCCAACUUAGAACAAUUUGAGUAGAUGCAGCUUAUAGAUAAAGUUACUGACAAGAGGUGGAGUGCAGCCACAGAAAGUUUAUUACCCUGCAGGUUCCAUCACCUUUUCAUGUAAUUUGAAAUAUUUUGUGAUAG